rnacentral:rRNA from 1 species
UACGGAGGGGGCUAGCGUUGUUCGGAAUUACUGGGCGUAAAGCGCACGUAGGCGGACUGUUAAGUCGGGGGUGAAAUCCUGGGGCUCAACCUCAGAAUUGCCUUCGAUACUGGCAGCCUUGAGUACGGGAGAGGUGAGUGGAAUUCCCAGUGUAGAGGUGAAAUUCGUAGAUAGUGGGAAGAACACCAGUGGCGAAGGUGGCUCACUGGCCCGUAACUGACGCUGAGGUGCUAAAGCGUGGGGAGCAAACAGG